rnacentral:rRNA from 1 species
GACGAACGCUGGCGGCGUGCCUAAUACAUGCAAGUCGAACGCAGUGGGGACGGGUGAGUAACACGUGGCUAACCUCCCAUCAGAGGGGAUAAAACUUGGAAAAAGGCGCUAAACCGAAACUGAUGGAUGGACCCGCGGUGCAUUAGCCUGUUGGGGGGGUAACGGCUCACCAAGGCCACGAUGCAUAGCGGACCUGAGAGGGUGACCGGCCACACUGGAACUGAGACACGGCCCAGACUCCUACGGGAGGCAGCAGUAGGGAAUCUUCGGCAAUGGACGAAAGUCUGACCGAGCAACGCCGCGUGAGUGAAGAAGGUUUUCGGAUCGUAAAACUCUUUUGUUAGAGAAGCGGUAUCUAACCAGAAAGCCACGGCUAACUACGUGCCAGCAGCCGCGGUAAUUC